AUUGAACGCUGGUGGUAGGCCUAACACAUGCAAGUCGAACGCGAAAGUCCUUCGGGAUGAGUAGAGUGGCGGACGGGUGAGUAACGCGUAGGAAUCUAUCCUGUAGUGGGGGAUAACGUUUCGAAAGGAACGCUAAUACCGCAUACGCCCCAAGGGGGAAAGCGGGGGAUCUUCGGACCUCGUGCUAUAGGAGGAGCCUGCGUCGGAUUAGCUAGUUGGUGAGGUAAAGGCUCAACAAGGCGACGAUCCGUAGCUGGUCUGAGAGGAUGAUCGGCCAAACCGGGCAUGAGACACGGUCCGGGCGCCUACCGGAGGCAGCAGUGGGGAAUAAUGCGCAAUGGGCGAAAGCAUGACGCAGCCAUACCGCGUGUGUAAAGAAGGGCUUCGGGUUGUAAAGCACUUUCAGUGGGGAGGAAAAGCUGGUGGCUGAUAUCCAUCGGCCGUGACGCUACCGACAGAAGAAGCACCGGCUAAUUCCGUGCCAGCCGCCGCCGUAACAC
rnacentral:rRNA from 1 species